rnacentral:SRP_RNA from 1 species
CGUGCUAGGCGGGGAAUUAGCGGUAUCCUGUAGCCUGCAAUCCGCUAUAGCGGGGCUGAAGACCUGUUUUGAGUAUAGAGAGGGUUAUUUAAUUACUGUCGGGCAAUGUUGAUGAAUCGGUCCUAUGCGACAAUAUCCGGCUAACCCCGCCAGGGUCGGAAGACAGCAACGGUAACCCGGUAAUAUUGGGUGCCAUAGGAGUGCCGAUUCUGAGUUAGCCAGCA